rnacentral:rRNA from 1 species
GAUGAACGCUAGCGGCAGGCUUAAUACAUGCAAGUCGUGGGGCAGCAGGUUUGUAGCAAUACAGAUGCUGGCGACCGGCAAACGGGUGCGGAACACGUACAGAACCUUCCUUUGAGCGGGGAAUAGCCCAGAGAAAUUUGGAUUAAUACCCCAUAGUAUAAUGAAGUGGCAUCACUUUAUUAUUAAAGAUUUAUCACUCGAAGAUGGCUGUGCGGCUGAUUAGGUAGUUGGCGGGGUAAAGGCCCACCAAGCCUGCGAUCAGUAACUGGUGUGAGAGCACGACCAGUCACACGGGCACUGAGACACGGGCCCGACUCCUACGGGAGGCAGCAGUAAGGAAUAUUGGUCAAUGGAGGCAACUCUGAACCAGCCAUGCCGCGUGGAGGAUGAAGGUCCUCUGGAUUGUAAACUCUUUUAUAUGGGACGAAAAAAGGCUUUUCUAAGUCGUCUGACGGUACCAUAUGAAUAAGCACCGGCUAACUCCGUGCCAGCAGCCGCGGUAA